GAUGAACGCUGGCGGCGUGCCUAAUACAUGCAAGUCGAGCGAACAGACGAGGAGCUUGCUCCUUCGACGUUAGCGGCGGACGGGUGAGUAACACGUGGAUAACCUACCUAUAAGACUGGGAUAACUUCGGGAAACCGGAGCUAAUACCGGAUAAUAUUUCGAACCGCAUAGUUCGAUAGUGAAAGACGGCUUUGCUGUCACUUCUCGAUGGACCUGCGCCGGAUUAGCUAGUUGGUAAGGUAACGGGUUACCAAGGCAACGAUGCGUACGCGACCUGACAGGGUGAUCGGCCACACUGGAACUGAGACAGGGUCCAGACUCCUACGGGAGGGAGCAGUAUGGAAUCUUCCGCAAUGGGCGAAAGCCUGACGGAGCAACGCCGCGUGAGUGAUGAAGGCCUUCGGAUCGUAAAACUCUGUUAUGAGGGAAGAACAAACGUGGAAGUAACUGUGCACGUCUUGACGGUACCUAAUCAGAAAGCCACGGCUAACUACGUG
rnacentral:rRNA from 1 species